rnacentral:sRNA from 1 species
GGGCCGGAUCCCGGACCAUGGCGGCGGCGGGGGGCGCCGAGGGGCGGCGCGCGGCCCUGGAGGCGGCGGCGGCGGCGGCAGCUCCUGAGCGGGGAGGCGGGAGCUGCGUGCUGUGCUGCGGAGACCUGGAGGCCACGGCGCUGGGCCGCUGCGACCACCCGGUGUGCUACCGCUGCUCUACCAAGAUGCGGGUGCUCUGCGAGCAGCGCUACUGCGCCGUGUGCCGCGAGGAGCUGCGCCAGGUGGUCUUUGGGAAGAGGCUUCCUGCCUUCGCCACCAUCCCCAUCCACCAGCUGCAGCAUGAGAAGAAAUAUGAUAUCUACUUUGCAGAUGGAAAGGUGUACGCAUUGUACAGGCAGCUGCUGCAGCACGAGUGCCCGCGGUGCCCCGAGCUGCCACCUUUCAGCCUCUUCGGGGACCUGGAGCAGCACAUGCGGAGGCAGCAUGAGCUCUUCUGCUGCCGGCUGUGCCUCCAGCACCUCCAGAUCUUCACAUAUGAGCGCAAGUGGUACUCGCGCAAGGACCUGGCCCGGCAUCGCAUGCAGGGUGACCCUGAUGACACGUCGCACCGUGGGCACCCGCUCUGCAAGUUCUGUGACGAGCGCUACCUGGACAAUGAUGAGCUGCUUAAGCACCUGCGCCGCGACCACUACUUCUGCCACUUCUGCGACUCGGACGGGGCCCAGGACUACUACAGGUGGGCCGGGCAGCAGACAGACAGAUGACCCUCCCUCCCCCAGGGCGUGGGGCUAACCGGGCUGCAGCCCUCCUACCGACACCCCAUCUCCUGCCAGCGACUAUGCCUACCUGCGUGAGCACUUCCGGGAGAAGCACUUUCUGUGUGAGGAAGGCCGCUGCAGCACGGAGCAGUUCACCCACGCCUUCCGCACCGAGAUCGACCUCAAGGCCCACAGGACGGCCUGCCACAGUCGCAGCCGCGCCGAGGCACGCCAGAACCGCCACAUUGACCUGCAGUUCAGCUACGCGCCACGGCACUCGCGCCGGAACGAGGGGGUCGUUGGUGGCGAAGACUACGAGGAGGUGGACAGGUACAGCCGCCAGGGCCGAGUGGCCCGGGCUGGCACUCGCGGAGCCCAGCAGAGCCGCCGAGGAAGCUGGAGGUACAAAAGGGAAGAAGAGGACCGAGAAGUAGCAGCUGCUGUCCGGGCCUCCGUGGCCGCACAGCAGCAGGAGGAGGCUCGCAGGAGUGAGGAUCAGGAGGAAGGUGGUAGGCCCAAGAAGGAGGAGGCAGCGGCGCGGGGUCCUGAGGAUCCCCGUGGCCCCCGGCGCUCACCCCGGACUCAGGGCGAAGGCCCAGGCCCCAAGGAAACCUCGACAAAUGGUCCUGUAAGCCAAGAAGCCUUCUCGGUGACAGGCCCAGCCGCCCCAGGCGCCCUCCCACCACCCAGCCCAAAGCUCAAGGACGAAGACUUCCCCAGCCUCUCUGCCUCCACUUACUCCUCCUGCUCCACUGCAGCAACCCCGGGCCCUGUGGGGUUGGCGCUGCCGUAUGCCAUCCCUGCCAGAGGCAGGAGUGCCUUCCAGGAGGAAGACUUCCCCGCCCUGGUGUCCUCGGUGCCCAAGCCUGGCACCGCCCCCACCAGCCUUGUCUCUGCCUGGAACAGCAGCAGUAGCAGCAAGAAGGUAGCACAGCUCCCACUCUCGGCGCAGGCUACCGGCAGCGGCCAGCCCACCAGGAAGGCUGGGAAGGGGAGCAGGGGCAGCAGGAAGGGCGGCCCGCCCUUCACACAGGAGGAGGAGGGCGGCAGCCCGGCCGUGCAGGAGCUUCUAAGCACACGCCCCACGGGCUCCGUCUCCUCCACACUGGGGCCGGCCUCCAUCCAACCCUCUAAAGUUGGGAAGAAGAAGAAAGUGGGCUCGGAGAAGCCAGGCACCACAUUGCCACAGCCCCCGCCCACUACCUGUCCCCCAGGGGCUUUGCAGGCCCCGGAAGCUCCUGCCAGCAGAGCCGAGGGGCCAGUUGCCGUCGUCGUUAAUGGACACACAGAGGGCCCGGCCCCUGCUCGGAGUGCCCCCAAGGAACCCCCUGGGCUCCCAAGGCCCCUGGGGUCCUUCCCCUGCCCCACGCCACAGGAGGACUUCCCAGCGCUCGGCGGCCCCUGCCCACCCCGGAUGCCGCCGCCC